UACGUAGGGUGCAAGCGUUGUCCGGAAUUAUUGGGCGUAAAGAGCUCGUAGGCGGUCUGUCGCGUCGGCUGCUGAAAUCCCGGAGCUCAACUCCGGUCGUGCAGUCGAUACGGGCAAACUGGAGUACUGCAGGGGAGACUGGAAUUCCUGGUGUAGCGGUGAAAUGCGCAGAUAUCAGGAGGAACACCGGUGGCGAAGGCGGGUCUCUGGGCAGUAACUGACGCUGAGGAGCGAAAGCGUGGGGAGCGAACAGG
rnacentral:rRNA from 1 species